rnacentral:rRNA from 1 species
GGUCAAGCUACAAAGGGCUCACGGUGGAUACCUUGGCACACAGAGGCGAUGAAGGACGUGGUUACCUGCGAUAAGUCUCGGGGAGCUGGAAGCACGCUUUGAUCCGGGAAUUUCCGAAUGGGGCAACCCCUUGUACGGCCAGCUGAAUCCAUAGGCUGGCGCGAGCCAACCCAGCGAACUGAAACAUCUUAGU